GUAGGAGAACAGACCUGGAGGGGGGUUACAGUGAGAUUAUUAAUCGAAAUCAGACGUCGGGAGGUUGAAAUCGUCAAGUGUGAAGAGUGGUGAUCCAUCGCCAGGGUAUUAGCUUAUCAAGGUGUUAAGUUUAGCUUGGGUGGACAAGAGACAGUGACAGUACUGAAUUCAAAUGAAGAGAUGAACAGGUGAGAUUGGAGAUGAACAGGUGUUAUUGGAGAUGAACAGGUGAGAUUGGAGAUGGACAGGUGAGAUUGGAGAUGGACAGGUGAGAUUGGAGAUGGACAGGUGAGAGAGGAGAUGAACAGGUGAGAUUGGAGAUGGACAGGUGAGAGAGGAGAUGAACAGGUGAGAUUGGAGAUGGACAGGUGAGAGAGGAGAUGAACAGGUGAGAUUGGAGAUGGACAGGUGAGAUUGGAGAUGGACAGGUGAGAUUGGAGAUGGACAGGUGAGAUUGGAGAUGGACAGGUGGGAUUGGAGAUAGACAGGUAAGAUUGGAGAUGGACAGGUGCAAGAGGGAGAAAAGAGAACAUCUCCAUUCAGCAGAAACAAGUAGCCCUGUUCCACCACCGUGACGACCAGAUGCUCUCGGAAUGUGAAACAUGUAGUCAGACGAAGAGAGAGCAGCCGGAGCAGCAGAGUUCUCUGGGUUGAUCAGACGAAGAGAGAGCAGCCGGAGCAGCAGGGUUCUCUGGGGUGAUCAUAUGAAGAGAGAGCAGCCGGAGCAGCAGGGUUCUCUGGGGUGAUCAUAUGAAGAGAGAGCAGCCGGAGCAGCAGAGUUCUCUGGGGUGAUCCAUGCUUCCGUCUGGACCAAAAAGUCAAGGGACUGAAGGGCAGCAUAGACUGAGAAGAACUUGACGUUCUUGACCUCAGAUCUGCAGUUCCAAACACCGCC
rnacentral:lncRNA from 1 species